UGGGGAAUUUUGGACAAUGGGCGAAAGCCUGAUCCAGCAAUGCCGCGUGUGUGAAGAAGGCCUUCGGGUUGUAAAGCACUUUUGUCCGGAAAGAAAUCCUUGGCUCUAAUACAGUCGGGGGAUGACGGUACCGGAAGAAUAAGCACCGGCUAACUACGUGCCAGCAGCCGCGGUAAUACGUAGGGUGCAAGCGUUAAUCGGAAUUACUGGGCGUAAAGCGUGCGCAGGCGGUUUGCUAAGGCCGAUGUGAAAUCCCCGGGCUCAACCUGGGAACUGCAUUGGUGACUGGCAGGCUAGAGUAUGGCAGAGGGGGGUAGAAUUCCACGUGUAGCAGUGAAAUGCGUAGAGAUGUGGAGGAAUACCGAUGGCGAAGGCAGCCCCCUGGGCCAAUACUGACGCUCAUGCACGAAAGCGUGGGGAGCAAACAGGAUUAGAUACCCUGGUAGUCCACGCCCUAAACGAUGUCAACUAGUUGUUGGGGAUUCAUUUCCUUAGUAACGUAGCUAACGCGUGAAGUUGACCGCCUGGGGAGUACGGUCGCAAGAUUAAAACUCAAAUGAAUUGAC
rnacentral:rRNA from 1 species